rnacentral:rRNA from 1 species
UACGUAGGGUGCAAGCGUUGUCCGGAAUUAUUGGGCGUAAAGAGCUCGUAGGCGGUCUGUCGCGUCUGCUGUGAAAACUCGGGGCUUAACCCCGGGCCUGCAGUGGGUACGGGCAGACUAGAGUGCGGUAGGGGGAGACUGGAAUUCCUGGUGUAGCGGUGAAAUGCGCAGAUAUCAGGAGGAACACCGGUGGCGAAGGCGGGUUGCUGGGCUGACACUGACGUGAGGCGCGAAAGCUAGGGGAGCGAACGGG